rnacentral:ncRNA from 2 species
UGCCAGCAUGAAGCUGGAGCUCGAU